rnacentral:rRNA from 1 species
AUGAUGAGAACAGAGCCAGUACAUUGGGCAAGGGCAUUUUUUCUAGUGGGUUCCAACUGUGAAUCAGUUGACAAUAAUCUUUGUGAAUCUUUUAAUCAUGCAAUUGUUGAAGUAAGGUUUUAUCCAAUAAUUUCAAUGCAAGAAAAAAUUAGGAAACAAAUACUUGUUAGAAUUCAGGAACAAAGGGCCAAAGGUCAGAAGUUUCAUGGAAAAAUAUGCCCCAGUGCUUUUAAGAAGUUAAAGAGUAGCAUAGCAAGGACACAGUUCAUGGAGGUACUUUGGAAUGGCAAAGAUGGAUUUGAAGUCAAACUUCUCACUGGGAAAAAAAGGCAGUACACAGUGAGUCUUGACAAUUGGACAUGCUCAUGUGGCUACUUCCAGCUGGCAGGACUUCCUUGUUCCCAUGCAUGCACAACUAUCUUCAAAUGUGGCAAAAAAGUGGAAGAUUUCAUUGCUCCCUGUUAUUUUGUUGAAGUAUUCAACAAAAUUUAUGAACACUGUUUGGAACCUGUAGAAGGUGAAGAAAUGUGGCCAGUUUCUGACAAACCUAGGACUCAAGCCCCAGCAUAUGCAACCAUACAAGACAACAUGCCAGGCAGGCCUAAGAAUAAUGAUAGGAGGAGGGAAGAAACAGAGAAACCUAAGCCUAGCAAAAAAAUGACCAAGCAUGGCACUGUAAUUAUUUGCUCAAUCUGUGGGACUGCUGGACAUAACAAGAAAGGUUGCAAGCAAAAUCCAGAGAGAGGCAAGAAGAAGAAUGCCCAUCUUAAGAAGACUAGCAAAAAAGGGACACAACAAAGGUAA